GUUUUCCAUCCGUUUUUACAAUCAGCCUACAUAAGUCUCUCUCCUACUACCAAAUUAUCAAGCCUUCGCCUUUCUCUCGAAGCUUGGAUCGUAAGUUCUUAGAAUCUCUGUCCAAGUGAGCAUAGAAAGGGAGGAGGAAGUCAGGGAUAUGACGGUUCUUGCUGACCAUCGGUCCUCAUAAUCUAUGAGCAUUCCCUAAGGAUGCCUCACAUGACAUGGUCUGGGGAGUUUGAACAUAAGACAACUUUGAUUCAUGACAGGAGAUAGUGAGCUUCAGACAAUGGACAAAUUAACGCUGUUGUCCAAGUCCACGGGGGAGAAGAGGGUUAUGUUUUUUCUUGUCUAAGGUUGCCUCAUGACCUUCAUGUGGUAAACUUCAGGAGGAGGGCAAUGAAAUUGAGUGGAUUAAGGUGGUAGAGAUCGGCUAUAAAUCCUUUGAAUUUUAAACCAAAGUGGCUGGUCUGAGUGUGUGUCAAUUACUGAAAUUAAGAACUGUGAACUAAGUUCCAUUGAUGUCAAUGUGGCCACUUGAAUCCAUUUGAACAGUGAUUGUUUAGUUGUA